CUGGCUCAGAGUGAACGCUGGCGGCAGGCCUAAUACAUGCAAGUCGAACGGCAGCACAGCAGAGCUUGCUCUGUGGGUGGCGAGUGGCGGACGGGUGAGGAAUACGUGGGAAUCUGCCCAGUCGUGGGGGAUAACGUAGGGAAACUUACGCUAAUACCGCAUGCGCCCUUCGGGGGAAAGCCGGGGACCUUCGGGCCUGGCGCGAUUGGAUGAGCCCACGUCGGAUUAGCUAGUUGGCGGGGUAAAGGCCCACCAAGGCGACGAUCCGUAGCUGGUCUGAGAGGAUGAUCAGCCACACUGGAACUGAGACACGGUCCAGACUCCUACGGGAGGCAGCAGUAGGGAAUAUUGGACAAUGGGCGCAAGCCUGAUCCAGCCAUGCCGCGUGAGUGAAGAAGGCCCUCGGGUUGUAAAGCUCUUUUGUCCGGAAAGAAAAGCGCCGGGUUAAUACCCUGGUGUCCUGACGGUACCGGAAGAAUAAGCACCGGCUAACUUCGUG
rnacentral:rRNA from 1 species